rnacentral:rRNA from 1 species
GACGAACGCUGGCGGCGUGCCUAAUACAUGCAAGUAGAACGCUGAAGGAGGAGCUUGCUUCUCUGGAUGAGUUGCGAACGGGUGAGUAACGCGUAGGUAACCUGCCUGGUAGCGGGGGAUAACUAUUGGAAACGAUAGCUAAUACCGCAUAAUAGCAGUUAUUGCAUGAUAACUGUUUGAAAGGUGCAAUUGCACCACUACCAGAUGGACCUGCGUUGUAUUAGCUAGUUGGUGGGGUAACGGCUCACCAAGGCGACGAUACAUAGCCGACCUGAGAGGGGGAUCGGCCACACUGGGACUGAGACACGGCCCAGACUCCUACGGGAGGCAGCAGUAGGGAAUCUUCGGCAAUGGACGGAAGUCUGACCGAGCAACGCCGCGUGAGUGAAGAAGGUUUUCGGAUCGUAAAGCUCUGUUGUAAGAGAAGAACGAGUGUGAGAGUGGAAAGUUCACACUGUGACGGUAUCUUACCAGAAAGGGACGGCUAACUACGUG